rnacentral:rRNA from 1 species
CAGCCGCCGCGGGAAUACGUAGGUGGCGAGCGUUGUCCGGAAUUAUUGGGCGUAAAGGGAGCGCAGGCGGACAUAUAAGUCCAUCUUAAAAGUGCGGGGCUCAGCCCCGUGAGGGGAUGGAAACUGUAUGCCUUGAGUGUAGGAGAGGAAAGCGGAAUUCCCAGUGUAGCGGUGAAAUGCGUAGAUAUUGGGAGGAACACCAGUGGCGAAGGCGGCUUUCUGGACUGCAACUGACGCUGAGGCUCGAAAGCCAGGGGAGCGAACGGGAUUAGAUACCCGAGUAGUCCCUGUCUCUUAUACA